AUGAAAUCCCUGUUGCUUUUGCUUUCCCUGCUUUCUGCCCCCAUCAGUGUCCUCUCCCAGGUGCAGCUGGUCCAGUCGGGCCCGGGGGCAGUGAAGCCCGGAGAGACCCUCGCCCUGACCUGCGCUGUCUCGGGUUACUCCAUCACUAGCGGUUACACUUGGAACUGGAUCCGGCAGCCCCUGGGGAAAGGGCUGGAGUGGAUGGGGUAUGUGUACCCGUAUAGUAGCGGGAGCACAAGCUACGCCCCGUCUCUCCAAGGCCGAAUCACCAUCUCUGCAGACACCGCCAAGAACCAGUUCUCCCUGCAGCUCCGCUCGCUGACAGCUGCAGACACCGCCACCUAUUACUGCGCCAGGAGCUACACAGUGACACAGAGAAAAGCGGGACCGUUCCUAGCAGCAGCAGGUGGUGAGUUGCACAAUGGGAUAGCUACCCAUGGUGCACUGCUCUCUCUGUCAGUGCUAGAGAACCAGCUGUGGACCUGCUCUGCCGACACAGGGAGCGGCGUGUGA